CCUAGGGCGGACGCCCGUCAGAGCGUCGUCGUUUAUGCACUCACCCACGGCGUCCGCAUCCCCUGCAAAGACUUCCGUUCGAUGUGCACCUGCGAACGUACUCCGUCAAGUAAGAAGAAUAGUGAAUUCACAAUUUUAAUGUUAAUAUCUGUAGCGGAAUUUUCUAUUUUGACGCCCACGAUUUAUUGAAUGUAAAUGCGUAACCAACGCUGUUGAUGUUGUGGCUGUACUGUUGAAAUGCGAACGGGCUCCUAGGGCGGACGCCCGUCAGAGCGUCGUCGUUUAUGCACUCACCCACGGCGUCCGCAUCCCCUGCAAAGACUUCCGUUCGAUGUGCACCUGCGAACGUACUCCGUCAAGUAAGAAGAAUAGUGAAUUCACAAUUUUAAUGUUAAUAUCUGUAGCGGAAUUUUCUAUUUUGACGCCCACGAUUUAUUGAAUGUAAAUGCGUAACCAACGCUGUUGAUGUUGCUGGCUGUACUGUUGAAAUGUGAGUGAGGCUACACUUCUUGGCACCAGAAAUGUAUGAAAGGACCCAGGAACGAUAACGAAUAGCUUUAGUGCUGGAUGACUGCACUGCACGGCACUGCCACUCAACAAGCGCAAGAAUCUUCCUCUUCUUCAAAACAGUUGUGCACAGCUUAUUGAUCUGACAUGGAAUGAUACGGCCACGGUUUGCUCCAGGGUCAUGUUGCAUACGUCAAACGGACACUUACACUUUGUUCAGGGAGAAGCAGCAGCAGGAAUAGGCCUCUAAGCCUAAGAUGGAUACUCAAAAAGUGAAUGCACGAAGUAUGCUGGAACGAAAGACACAGAAACCGCUGCGCUCCUCACGUGCAUUUGUUUUCAGCCAGUAGCAGACGACGUUCGAGAGGGCGCCACAUCUCAAGAAAAUGGUCCAUUCAAUUGGCAAUGGAGAAAUACCUGUCAGCCCUCAAAAAUGCAACCCAAUUAUUUAGGAAUUAUUUUGGUGUGCUUCUAGCUCUUUCCUUAGUGUAAUUGAUGUAUCACAUCUCCAACAUAUAAGUGAAACAGCCAUAGCUUAUCACAGUUUUUAUGGUACUGCAUUGUUGUCACAUACCCGAGCAGCACAAUAUGUCGGGUGAGGGUCGGGGUCCCAUCGGGGCAACCGGGCCGCUGCUGGUCAAUACCGCAUACCGAGAGCCAGCACGAUCCCGUUUGGACAUCGGUGGAGAGAAACGAGAGAGUAAGGAGGGUAGCGUCGACCCCCGACUGGUAACGGGGCUAUACCCGACGGUCUGGGUUCUGGGCCGCACAUCACCGGCUGGCUACCGGCCCUACGGGCCCUCGGCGCGCAUGUGACCGUAUUCCGCGCAUGCGUGAGUAUUUGUUUCCCUCUCCUCUAAUUCGCUUUAGUUUGUUUGUGGUGUCCGUUGACCAGACGCGCUGUCAACCGUCAAAUAAAAGAUGUUUGCCAUUAGGCAAACAUACAUAACACGCAGGUAAGUUUGCGCAGGUAAACAUGCAGUUAAGUUUUUCGUUUUCUCUUUUUGCUAACAUCUGUGUUGCUACACGACAGCGUCGUGCUGCAAGGUCCGCUCAAGGUGGGCAUGGGCAUGUUGCUCUAUUGUAUCACAUAGUCGUGUUACGACAAUGUCUUGCAGGUCUUUAUAGAAAUAUACUCACCGUAUUACUUGAUAUAUAUAUAUAUAUAAGAAAAAACAGGCGUCAGUGGAACAGCGUUUGCAAGUGUCCCAGCAGUUCAAUGAAACGUACUGCCAGCGAAAUUUGGUUACCAACUUCGACGUCCCGGACCUCCCUGUGAAAACUGAUGGCGAUCUUCUCAAGCUUGACACAGUACUGGCAAAGGCCAGAGGCAGGGCACAUAUGAUUGAGAUGCUGUCCCGGCUGGGAGAGAACUCAAUUCAAGAAACGGUGCAGAUUGUCAUGAACAAGCUGCUGACCAACAGCGUAGCAUUGCUCUACAGUCUGAAGGGCGCUCAGCAGAAGCAUAACUUCUCCACUUUGCGACUACAUUCUUGCAUUCUUGAAGUACUUCUAAAGCGGUACCCGGCAUCGACAGAGAAAGACAUUGACGGGAAACUUGGUCGCUUUCUUGCCAGGGCGCAAGACCGAGAAGGGCACGUGAAGCUCGAAAGAGGGAAGCUACAGCAGAGGCCGGGAACAGCGAACACGAAUAGAAUACUUGCUGCGAUGAAAACGGCGAACAAGGAAAGAACAUCUGCUUUUUAUUUUUUAAAGAAGCAAAUAUUUGUAAAAGUACCGGAAUAAACUGUUCCAAGCAUUUCUAAA